rnacentral:rRNA from 1 species
CCUACGGGCGGCUGCAGUGGGGAAUAUUGCACAAUGGGGGAAACCCUGAUGCAGCGACGCCGCGUGGAGGAUGAAGGUCUUCGGGUUGUAAACUCCUUUUGUUGGGAAAGAUGAUGACGGUACCCAAUGAAUAAGCCACGGCUAACUCUGUGCCAGCAGCCGCGGUAAGACAGAGGUGGCGAGCGUUGUUCGGAAUUACUGGGCUUAAAGGGCGAGUAGGCGGUGGGACAAGUCUGAUGUGGAAUCUUAGGGCUUAACCCUAAAACUGCAUUAGAAACUGUUUUACUUGAGUCAGUGAGGGGAGGGCGGAAUUCCCGGUGUAGCGGUGAAAUGCGUAGAUAUCGGGAGGAAGGCCGGUGGCGAAGGCGGCUCUCUGGCACUGUACUGACGCUGAGGCGCGAAAGCGUGGGGAGCAAACAGGAUUAGAUACCCGAGUAGUC